rnacentral:rRNA from 1 species
UACGGAGGAUGCGAGCGUUAUCCGGAUUUAUUGGGUUUAAAGGGUGCGUAGGCGGGUUAUCAAGUCAGCGGUAAAAUCGUGGAGCUCAACUCCAUCCAGCCGUUGAAACUGAUGAUCUUGAGUGGGCGAGAAGUAUGCGGAAUGCGUGGUGUAGCGGUGAAAUGCAUAGGUAUCACGCAGAACUCCGAUUGCGAAGGCAGCAUACCGGCGCCCGACUGACGCUGAAGUACGAAAGCGUGGGUAUCGAACAGG